rnacentral:rRNA from 1 species
GAUCAUGGCUCAGGAUGAACGCUAGCUACAGGCUUAACACAUGCAAGUCGAGGGGAAACGACAUCGAAAGCUUGCUUUUGAUGGGCGUCGACCGGCGCACGGGUGAGUAACGCGUAUCCAACCUGCCCAUCACUUGGGAAUAACCUUGCGAAAGUAAGACUAAUACCCAAUGACAUCCCACGAAGACAUCUGAAUGGGAUUAAAGAUUUAUCGGUGAUGGAUGGGGAUGCGU